rnacentral:rRNA from 1 species
GUCCAGACUCCUACGGGAGGCAGCAGUGGGGGAUAUUGCACAAUGGGGGGAACCCUGAUGCAGCGACGCCGCGUGGGUGAAGGAGCGUUUCGGCGCGUAAAGCCCUAUCGGCAGGGAAGAAGGAGGACGGUACCUGACUAAGAAGCCCCGGCUAACUACGUGCCAGCAGCCGCGGUAAUACGUAUGGUGCAAGCGUUAUCCGGAUUUACUGGGUGUAAAGGGAGCGCAGGCGGCGCGUUAAGCCUGGUGUGAAAGCCCGCGGCUCAACCCCGGGCAUGCAUUGGAAACUGGCGGGCUGGAGUGCCGGAGAGGUAAGCGGAAUUCCUAGUGUAGCGGUGAAAUGCGUAGAUAUUAGGAGGAACACCAGUGGCGAAGGCGGCUUACUGGACGGCAACUGACGCUGAGGCUCGAAAGCGUGGGGAGCAAACAGGAUUAGAUACCCGAGUA